rnacentral:rRNA from 1 species
UACGGAGGAUCCGAGCGUUAUCCGGAUUUAUUGGGUUUAAAGGGUGCGCAGGCGGGAGAUUAAGUCGGCGGUGAAAUUUUGCAGCUCAACUGUAAAAGUGCCUUCGAAACUGGUUUCCUUGAGUGUAGAUGAAGUAGGCGGAAUUUGUGGUGUAGCGGUGGAAUGCAUAGAUAUCACGAGGAACUCCGAUUGCGCAGGCAGCUUACUAAACUACUACUGACGCUCAGGCACGAAGGCGUGGGGAUCAAACAGGAUUAGAUACCCGGGUAGU